AUGCCUUAAACUGAUGAGUAAGGAAAAUAACGAUUCAGGGUGACGCCUGAGUCUGCGUCAAAGUACGUUUCAAUUUUUGAAGGGGUACAGGUCUGUCCGUAGUGGUGACUCGCCUACUUCGCGAGAUGCCUUUCUGGGCUAGGAUCUACCCC